rnacentral:rRNA from 1 species
ACGAACGCUGGCGGCGCGCCUAACACAUGCAAGUCGAACGGAAUUAAGAGGAGCUUGCUUUUCUUGAUUUAGUGGCGAACGGGUGAGUAACGCGUGAGUAACCUGCCCUGGAGUGGGGGACAACAGUUGGAAACGACUGCUAAUACCGCAUAAGCCCACGGUACCGCAUGGUACUGAGGGAAAAGGAUUAAUUCGCUUCAGGAUGGACUCGCGUCCAAUUAGCUAGUUGGUGAGGUAACGGCCCACCAAGGCGACGAUUGGUAGCCGGACUGAGAGGUUGAACGGCCACAUUGGGACUGAGACACGGCCCAGACUCCUACGGGAGGCAGCAGUGGGGGAUAUUGCACAAUGGGGGAAACCCUGAUGCAGCGACGCCGCGUGGAGGAAGAAGGUUUUCGGAUUGUAAACUCCUGUCGUUAGGGACGAUAAUGACGGUACCUAACAAGAAAGCACCGGCUAACUACGUGCCAGCAGCCGCGGUAAAACGUAGGGUGCAAGCGUUGUCCGGAAUUACUGGGUGUAAAGGGAGCGCAGGCGGACCGGCAAGUUGGAAGUGAAAUCCAUGGGCUCAACCCGUGAAUUGCUUUCAAAACUGCUGGCCUUGAGUAGUGCAGAGGUAGGUGGAAUUCCCGGUGUAGCGGUGGAAUGCGUAGAUAUCGGGAGGAACACCAGUGGCGAAGGCGACCUACUGGGCACCAACUGACGCUGAGGCUCGAAAGCAUGGGUAGCAAACAGGAUUAGAUACCCUGGUAGUCCAUGCCGUAAACGAUGAUUACUAGGUGUUGGAGGAUUGACCCCUUCAGUGCCGCAGUUAACACAAUAAGUAAUCCACCUGGGGAGUACGACCGCAAGGUUGAAACUCAAAGGAAUUGACGGGGGCCCGCACAAGCAGUGGAGUAUGUGGUUUAAUUCGAAGCAACGCGAAGAACCUUACCAAGUCUUGACAUCCCUCUGACCGUUCCUUAACCGGAACUUUCCUUCGGGACAGGGGAGACAGGUGGUGCAUGGUUGUCGUCAGCUCGUGUCGUGAGAUGUUGGGUUAAGUCCCGCAACGAGCGCAACCCUUAUUGCCAGUUACUACGCAAGAGGACUCUGGCGAGACUGCCGUUGACAAAACGGAGGAAGGUGGGGAUGACGUCAAAUCAUCAUGCCCUUUAUGACCUGGGCUACACACGUACUACAAUGGCGUUUAACAAAGAGAAGCAAGACCGCGAGGUGGAGCAAAACUCAAAAACAACGUCUCAGUUCAGAUUGCAGGCUGCAACUCGCCUGCAUGAAGUCGGAAUUGCUAGUAAUCGCGGAUCAGCAUGCCGCGGUGAAUACGUUCCCGGGCCUUGUACACACCGCCCGUCACACCAUGAGAGCCGGGGGGACCCGAAGUCGGUAGUCUAACCGUAAGGAGGACGCCGCCGAAGGUAAAACUGGUGAUUGGGGUG